GGCUUUGUAGCUCAGUUGGCAGAGCGCACGUCUCAUAAGCGUGUUGUCGCGUGUUCGAUUCACGCCAAAGCCA
rnacentral:tRNA from 1 species